AACGAACGCUGGCGGCAUGCCUAAUACAUACAAGUCGAACGAGAUCUUCGGAUCUAGUGGCGCACGGGUGCGUAACGCGUGGGAAUCUGCCCUUGGGUUCGGAAUAACGUCGGGAAACUGACGCUAAUACCGGAUGAUGACGUAAGUCCAAAGAUUUAUCGCCCAGGGAUGAGCCCGCGUAGGAUUAGCUAGUUGGUGAGGUAAAGGCUCACCAAGGCGACGAUCCUUAGCUGGUCUGAGAGGAUGAUCAGCCACACUGGGACUGAGACACGGCCCAGACUCCUACGGGAGGCAGCAGUAGGGAAUAUUGGACAAUGGGGGCAACCCUGAUCCAGCAAUGCCGCGUGAGUGAUGAAGGCCUUAGGGUUGUAAAGCUCUUUUACCCGGGAUGAUAAUGACAGUACCGGGAGAAUAAGCCCCGGCUAACUCCGUGCCAGCAGCCGCGGUAACAC
rnacentral:rRNA from 1 species